GAUGAACGCUGGCGGCGUGCCUAAUACAUGCAAGUCGAGCGAACGGACGAGAAGCUUGCUUCUCUGAUGUUAGCGGCGGACGGGUGAGUAACACGUGGAUAACCUACCUAUAAGACUGGGAUAACUUCGGGAAACCGGAGCUAAUACCGGAUAAUAUUUUGAACCGCAUGGUUCAAAAGUGAAAGACGGUCUUGCUGUCACUUAUAGAUGGGUCCGCGCUGCAUUAGCUAGUUGGUAAGGUAACGGCUUACCAAGGCAACGAUGCAUAGCCGACCUGAGAGGGUGAUCGGCCACACUGGAACUGAGACACGGUCCAGACUCCUACGGGAGGCAGCAGUAGGGAAUCUUCCGCAAAGGGCGAAAGCCUGACGGAGCAACGCCGCGUGAGUGAUGAAGGUCUUCGGAUCGUAAAACUCUGUUAUUAGGGAAGAACAUAUGUGUAAGUAACUGUGCACAUCUUGACGGUACCUAAUCAGAAAGCCACGGCUAACUACGUG
rnacentral:rRNA from 1 species